rnacentral:lncRNA from 1 species
AAAUAAAUGAUGUGGAUGCGGUAAUUCACGUCUCGCUUAAUAACAGGUGUCACGAUAUGAAUGCAAUUGUUGAAACAUGUAAAGAUGCCGGCAAGCCCAUCAUCGAAGAUGCUGCUCAGUCACUAGGAAGUACUUGGUGCGGAAAAGCUCUGGGAACAUUUGCCGAUGUUGGAAUUUUUUCAUUUUCUUCUCCUAAGAUCAUUUCGAUGGGUCAGGGUGGAUGCGUGGUGACAGACAACGAUGAGAUCGCACUUCGUUUACGCAGAAUUAAAGAUUUCGGGAGAGACAGACCUGGAACUGAAGAAUAUUCUGCUUUCGGGCUUAAUUUUAAAUUUACUGAUCUGCAAGCGGUGAUCGGCUUAGAACAGCUCAAGAAGCUUCCAGGUCGAGUGCGUGCCUUAUCUGACAUGUGGGACCUAUAUUACAAGCACUUAGCGAAAUAUAUGAUCCCUAAAGCUGACAAAGGUUGGAUACCUUGGUUUAUCGAGAUAUUCGUUCUGAAUAGGGAUGAGCUCGCGGUACAACUACGAGCGGCUGGAAUUGGCGUCAGAGAGGUAUACCCCCCUGUUCAUAUUCAGAAAUGUUAUAAUGAGAGCUCACUAGCUCUUCCGAAUGCGACAAGAGUACACCAAACCGGAUUAUGGCUACCUUCAUGGUCGUCUUUAUCAAAGAAUCAAAUCGAAGCCAUUUGCUCUUGUGUGAACUUGCUCAUGUAGGAACACGAGCACUGAAAAAGAACGCAACAUUAUAUUAAGAUCAUAAUCAUAAAUAUAUAAGUCACGAUUAAAUCAAGAAAUAUUGAGUUAAACCUAUUGGCCGAAAUCCUCGGACCUUCAGCACUCCCAAGGCAGUGCAGAGCGCGCGGGGGGGUCGUCUUUUCGGCCGCGCACGACGCGUCACUGGGUAGAUCGAUUCGUUCUUCCACUUGCUGGUGCCUCCGCUUUUGCCUCGAUGAAGAAAGGGCUCGCAACGUAGGAUGAU